UGGGGGAAUUUUGGACAAUGGGGGAAACCCUGAUCCAGCCAUCCCGCGUGUGCGAUGAAGGCCUUCGGGUUGUAAAGCACUUUUGGCAGGAAAGAAACGUCGCGGGUUAAUACCCCGCGAAACUGACGGUACCUGCAGAAUAAGCACCGGCUAACUACGUGCCAGCAGCCGCGGUAAUACGUAGGGUGCAAGCGUUAAUCGGAAUUACUGGGCGUAAAGCGUGCGCAGGCGGUUCGGAAAGAAAGAUGUGAAAUCCCAGAGCUUAACUUUGGAACUGCAUUUUUAACUACCGGGCUAGAGUGUGUCAGAGGGAGGUGGAAUUCCGCGUGUAGCAGUGAAAUGCGUAGAUAUGCGGAGGAACACCGAUGGCGAAGGCAGCCUCCUGGGGAUAACACUGACGCUCAUGCACGAAAGCGUGGGGAGCAAACAGGAUUAGAUACCCUGGUAGUCCACGCCCUAAACGAUGUCAACUAGCUGUUGGGGCCUUCGGGCCUUGGUAGCGCAGCUAACGCGUGAAGUUGACCGCCUGGGGGAGUACGGUCGCAAGAUUAAAACUC
rnacentral:rRNA from 1 species